rnacentral:ribozyme from 1 species
AACCGCUACCGGCCUUGCAACGGGAUGGGAUCCGAAGUCUCCUGAAGAACUCCUAUUCCGACACGUCCACGUCGUGCAGAGUGGUAACAUGGGCCCAAGUCCUGCCAUUCGGCUGGAUGAAGGCUCAUGGCUAAGAAGGAGAGG